GGCCGAGUGGUUAAAGGCAGCAGACUGUAAAUCUGCCCGCGUUAGCGUACGCUGGUUCGAAUCCAGCC
rnacentral:tRNA from 1 species